rnacentral:lncRNA from 1 species
GCCCCGGGACCGAUACCAAUUUGGCCCGACCCGAGCACGUCAAACAGACGCCGAACGGACAGAGUUUCCCCUAUCUGCCCAAGGCUCAUCACAUGUACAUUUUCAUCAAUAGAGAAAAGCACUAGCGGAAACAUACACAAGCAGCUUACACGAAGGUAAGCAAUAGCCACAAGUGAAAGAAAAAGGAAACUAAACCUUUACAAGUACUAUGAUUCAUUUUUUAUCAUAUACAUUGCAUCCAUUUACAUUCAUGAUUCUUGUACUUCAUUACACAUUGCAUCAUUUCUUUCUUACAUCACAUUUACCUCAAAAUAAACUUUACAUUCUUUUCUCAAUAUCACUAGUCAUCAAAUACAAAUAUGAACAAAGGGUACUCUACCAACAAAAUGUAAACCCAACUCAACUCUGGUGGCCUCUGUCUAAGGCGCGAUACCUUUACCUCGGUCGCUCGCCGGCUCGCUCGGUCCCGGCUCUGUGGAAAUAGUGGGGUGAGAAC